rnacentral:rRNA from 1 species
CAGUAGCCACGGUAAUACGUAGGUGGCAAGCGUUGUCCGGAAUUAUUGGGCGUAAAGGGCUCGCAGGCGGUUUCUUAAGUCUGAUGUGAAAGCCCCCGGCUCAACCGGGGAGGGUCAUUGGAAACUGGGAAACUUGAGUGCAGAAGAGGAGAGUGGAAUUCCACGUGUAGCGGUGAAAUGCGUAGAGAUGUGGAGGAACACCAGUGGCGAAGGCGACUCUCUGGUCUGUAACUGACGCUGAGGAGCGAAAGCGUGGGGAGCGAACAGGAUUAGAUACCCCCGUAGUCCCUGUCUCUUAUAC